GACGAACGCUGGCGGCGUGCUUAACACAUGCAAGUCGAACGGAAAGGCCCUGCUUUUGUGGGGUGCUCGAGUGGCGAACGGGUGAGUAACACGUGAGUAACCUGCCCUUGACUUUGGGAUAACUUCAGGAAACUGGGGCUAAUACCGGAUAGGAGCUCCUGCUGCAUGGUGGGGGUUGGAAAGUUUCGGCGGUUGGGGAUGGACUCGCGGCUUAUCAGCUUGUUGGUGGGGUAGUGGCUUACCAAGGCUUUGACGGGUAGCCGGCCUGAGAGGGUGACCGGCCACAUUGGGACUGAGAUACGGCCCAGACUCCUACGGGAGGCAGCAGUGGGGAAUAUUGCACAAUGGGCGGAAGCCGGAGGCAGCAACGCCGCGUGCGGAUGACGGCCUUCGGGUUGUAAACCGCUUUCGCCUGUGACGAAGCGUGAGUGACGGUAAUGGGUAAAGAAGCACCGGCUAACUACGUG
rnacentral:rRNA from 1 species